rnacentral:rRNA from 1 species
AGAGUUUCAUUCUGGCUCACGAUGAACGCUGGCGGCAUGCCUAAUACAUGCAAGUCGAACGAGAGGAAGGAAAGCUUGCUUUUCUGAAUCUAGUGGCGAACGGGUGAGUAACACGUAGGUAACCUGCCCAUGUGCCCGGGAUAACUUCUGGAAACGGAUGCUAAAACCGGAUAGGUAGCAGACAAGCAUUUGACUGCCAUUAAAGUGGCUACGGCCAUGAACAUGGAUGGACCUGCGGUGCAUUAGCUAGUUGGUGAGGUAACGGCCCACCAAGGCGACGAUGCAUAGCCGGCCUGAGAGGGCGGACGGCCACAUUGGGACUGAGACACGGCCCAAACUCCUACGGGAGGCAGCAGUAGGGAAUUUUCGUCAAUGGGGGGAACCCUGAACGAGCAAUGCCGCGUGAGUGAGGAAGGUCUUCGGAUCGUAAAGCUCUGUUGUAAGAGAAAAACGGCACUCAUAGGGAAUGAUGAGUGAGUGAUGGUAUCUUACCAGAAAGUCACGGCUAACUACGUGCCAGCAGCCGCGGUAAUACGUAGGCGGCAAGCGUUGUCCGGAAUCAUUGGGCGUAAAGGGAGCGCAGGUGGGGCGGUAAGUCUUUCUUAAAAGUGCGGGGCUCACCCCCGUGAGGGGAAAGAAACUAUCGUUUUUGAGUGCAGGAGAGGAAAGCGGAAUUUCUAGUGUAGCGGUGAAAUGCGUAGAUAUUAGGAAGAACACCAGUGGCGAAGGCGGCUUUCUGGACUGUAACUGACACUGAGGCUCGAAAGCGUGGGGAGCGAACAGGAUUAGAUACCCUGGUAGUCCACGCCGUAAACGAUGAAUGCUAGGUGUAGGAGGUAUCGACCCCUUCUGUGCCGGAGUUAACGCAAUAAGCAUUCCGCCUGGGGAGUACGGUCGCAAAGAUUGAAACUCAAAGGAAUUGACGGGGGCCCGCACAAGCGGUGGAGUAUGUGGUUUAAUUCGACGCAACGCGAAGAACCUUACCAGGGCUUGACAUUGAGUGAAAGGCAUAGAGAUAUGUCCCUCUCUUCGGAGACACGAAAACAGGUGGUGCAUGGCUGUCGUCAGCUCGUGUCGUGAGAUGUUGGGUUAAGUCCCGCAACGAGCGCAACCCCUAUGCUUUGUUGCCAGCAAGUAAUGUUGGGCACUCAAAGGAGACUGCCGCGGAGAACGCGGAGGAAGGCGGGGAUGACGUCAAGUCAUCAUGCCCCUUAUGUCCUGGGCUACACACGUACUACAAUGGGAUGGACAGAGAGCAGCGAAAUCGCGAGAUCAAGCGAACCUCAUAAACCAUCUCCCAGUUCGGAAAGCAGGCUGAAACCCGCCUGCAUGAAGUUGGAAUCGCUAGUAAUCGCAGGUCAGCAUACUGCGGUGAAUAAAAUCCCGGGCCUUGCACACACCGCCCGUCA